CCCUAAAAGUUUUGAAGAGUGCCAGAGGUUCUUGUCAGGACAGUUGCACUAGUGGCCAUCUGGAAAAUGGAUUUUAGUGGUCUAAAUAAGCAGCAAAAGUGUCUUGAAUUAGCAACAAGAAGCCCUGGAAAUGGAGAAACAUGAAGGCAAGACGAACUUGCCACUUGCUCUGCCUGAUGGUUCUUCAUACCUUCCUACUCCACAUUGGCUGGAAAGUGGAAGCAGUGAGCGGUGAGAACAGUUAAGGCUAAGAUGGAAUGUCCACAGGCUGAGGGAGAAAAUGGGACGAUCCUUCAAUACCUAUAUCUAAGUGUUGAGUAAGUCUCCUAGGAUCCACUCCCCUUCCAAUCUGACUGAAACCUACAAGGCCCUCUGAAGCUGCAACUUCCCAGGAGCAAUCCUGCCCAGGAUCUGACUGUCAAAAUGAGGUUUCUGGAGAUUUCCAUUCAAGAAAAGGAUGGUGUGGAGGACUCAGUUCCACUGAGGAACCUCCAAGGAGCCAUGUGAAAUACCCUUCAGAAUUCUCCCACUGAAGUCCUGGAAGGCAUUUAGCCAGUCCCUCGCUGGUUGAAGAUUUCUGAAGAAUGUUAACUUUCUCAGACAGGCUGCAUCUGCAGGUGGGCUGGAUCCUUACCUAGCUAAUUAAGGGAGCCUGCUAUGGGAUGUGAGCAAUGUGCAUGGACUAUCCUUCACCACUGCUGCACUUAGGUCAGAAAGGGAUCACAAGUGUCUGCAAAGUACACCCCUCACAUUGCUCAGGUCUAUAAAUGCCCCCCAGUAAAUCUAAUCUCUCACCGACUCUUAAAGGCUCUGGUCAGCUGCAAGCUCUUGAAAAAAAAUUUCAACAGAAAUAAACUGUAGUCUCCUGGAGCAACUAGUCUUCAGUCACAAUA